GAUGAACGCUGGCGGCGUGCCUAACACAUGCAAGUCGAGCGGACGGACGAGGCUCUUGCUUCUCUGCUGUUAGUGGCGGACGGGUGAUUAACACGUGUCUACCUUACCUAUAAGACUGAGAUCACUUCGGGAACCCGUAGCUCAUAUCCGUUCAUAUUUUGAACCUCGUGGUUCUUCGGACAUAUACGUCUUUGCUGUCACUAAUCGAUGUUUCCUGGCUGGAUUAGCUAGUUGGUAAGGUGACGGCCUACCAAGGCGAGGAUGCAUAGCCGAUCUGAGAGGGUGAUCGGCCACACUGGAACUGAGACACGGUCCAGACUCCUAAGGGAGGGAGCAGUGGGGAAUAUUAGGCAAUGGGCGAAAGCCUGACGGAGCAAGGCCGCGUGUGUGAAGAAGGUCUUCGGAUCGUAAAGCUCUGUUAUUAGGGAAGAACAGAUGUAUAAGGAAAUGUGGACGGUUUGACGGUACCAAGUGAAUAAGCACCGGCUAACUACGUG
rnacentral:rRNA from 1 species